CCUACGGGAGGCAGCAGUGGGGAAUAUUGCACAAUGGGGGAAACCCUGAUGCAGCGACGCCGCGUGAGUGAAGAAGUAUUUCGGUAUGUAAAGCUCUAUCAGCAGGAACGAGACAAGACGGUACCUGACUACGAAGCCCCGGCUAACUACGUGCCAGCAGCCGCGGUAAUACGUAGGGGGCAAGCGUUAUCCGGAAUCACUGGGUGUAAAGGGAGCGUAGACGGCUGUGCAAGCCUGAAGUGAAAGGCGGGGGCCCAACCCCUGGACUGCUUUGGGAACUGUACGGCUGGAGUGCAGGAGAGGUAAGUGGAAUUCCUAGUGUAGCGGUGAAAUGCGUAGAUAUUAGGAGGAACACCAGUGGCGAAAGCGGCUCUCUGGUCUGUAACUGACGCUGAGGUUCGAAAGCGUGGGUAGCAAACAGGAUUAGAUACCCUAGUAGUC
rnacentral:rRNA from 1 species